rnacentral:rRNA from 1 species
CGUAGGCAGCGAGCGUUGUUCGGAGUUACUGGGCGUAAAGCGUGCGUAGGCGGUUUUGUAAGUCUGGUGUGAAAUCUCCCGGCUCAACUGGGAGGGUGCGCCGGAAACUGCAAGGCUGGAGUAUGGGAGAGGUAGGCGGAAUUCCUGGUGUAGCGGUGAAAUGCGUAGAUAUCAGGAGGAACACCUGUGGUGUAGACGGCUUACUGGACCAUGACUGACGCUGAGGCACGAAAGCGUGGGGAGCAAACAGGAUUAGAUACCCUGGUAGUCCACGCCCUAAACGAUGCAUACUUGGUGUGGGCAAUUCAUUUUGUCCGUGCCGGAGCUAACGCGUUAAGUAUGCCGCCUGGGGAGUACGGUCGCAAGGCUG